rnacentral:rRNA from 1 species
UACGUAGGUGGCAAGCGUUGUCCGGAAUUAUUGGGCGUAAAGCGCGCGCAGGCGGCUUCUUAAGUCUGAUGUGAAAUCUCGGGGCUCAACCCCGAGCGGCCAUUGGAAACUGGGAGCUUGAGUACAGAAGAGGAGAGUGGAAUCCCACGUGUAGCGGUGAAAUGCGUAGAUAUGUGGAGGAACACCAGUGGCGAAGGCGACUCUCUGGUCUGUAAACUGACGCUGAGGCGCGAAAGCGUGGGGAGCAAACAGG